AGAGUUUGAUCCUGGCUCAGGAUGAACGCUAGCUACAGGCUUAACACAUGCAAGUCGAGGGGCAUCAUGGAGGUAGCAAUACUCCGAUGGCGACCGGCGAAUGGGUGAGUAACACGUAUCCAACCUGCCCCGUACUCAGGGAUAGCCCUUAGAAAUGAGGAUUAAUACCUGAUUGCGUCCGGAGGCUGCAUGGCCUCCGUACUAAAGAUUCAUCGGUACGGGAUGGGGAUGCGUCUGAUUAGGUAGUAGGCGGGGUAACGGCCCACCUAGCCUACGAUCAGUAGGGGUUCUGAGAGGAAGGUCCCCCACAUUGGUACUGAGACACGGACCAAACUCCUACGGGAGGCAGCAGUGAGGAACAUUGGUCAAUGGGCGCAAGCCUGAACCAGCCAAGUAGCGUGAAGGAUGACGGCCCUAUGGGUUGUAAACUUCUUUUUCCGGGGGAUAAAGUGAGCCACGUGUGGCUUAUUGCAGGCACCCGGUGAAUAAGGACCGGCUAAUUCCGUGCCAUCAGCCGCGGUAAUACAGAAGGUCCGAGCGUUAUCCGGAUUUAUUGGGUUUAAAGGGAGCGUAGGUGGAAAGGUAAGUCAGCCGUCAAAUCCGCGGAGCUCAACUCCGUUCAGCGGGUUGAUACUGUUUUUCUUGAAGUGCGCAAGAUGCAGGUGGAAUUCCAAGGUGUAUCGGUGAAAUGCUUAAAAUCCUCAAAAAACUCCUAUUUGCGAAAGCAGCUUGCUGGGGCCCAAAUGACACUGAGGGUUCUAAGGGGCGGGUAUCAAACAGGAUUAGGAUACCCUGGUAGUCCGCACAGUAAACUAUGGAUGCUCGCGGUGCGUGGAAUAUCCUUACGCCGCCUAGGGAAAGCGUUAAGCAUCCCACCUGGGGAGUACGCCGGCAACGGUGAAACUCAAAGGAAUUGACGGGGGCCCGCACAAGCGGAGGAACAUGUGGUUUAAUUCGAUGAUACGCGAGGAACCUUACCCGGGCUUGAAAGGGAGUCGACGGCAGGCAGAGACGCCUGCUUUCUUCGGACGGCUUCCUAGGUGCUGCAUGGUUGUCGUCAGCUCGUGCCGUGAGGUGUCGGCUUAAGUGCCAUAACGAGCGCAACCCUUAUCGUUGGUUACCAUCGGGUGAUGCCGGGGACUCCAGCGACACUGCCAUCGCAAGAUGUGAGGAAGGCGGGGAUGACGUCAAAUCAGCACGGCCCUUACGUCCGGGGCUACACACGUGUUACAAUGGGGGGUACAGCAAGCAGGUCCGCGGCGACGCGGGUCGAAUCCCUAAAACCCCUCCCAGUUCGGACUGGAGUCUGCAACCCGACUCCACGAAGCUGGAUUCGCUAGUAAUCGCGCAUCAGCCAUGGCGCGGUGAAUACAAUCCCGGGCCUUGCACACACCGCCCGUCA
rnacentral:rRNA from 1 species